GCCCUCAACGGGUGCAGGUCCGCGGCCGGACGGUAGAGGCCUCCCUUCCGAGGACUUGGCGCUGGGGCGUGCGCGGGUCUGCGGGCUGGGGCUCUGCUUCCCGGCGCGAGCCCGCGCGUGGUUCCUCGCGAAGUCCCCGCGCGGCCGGGCCCAGCGUGAGUAUUCUCCGCCCGCUGUCCUCCCCUUCAGGCGGCAGCGCUCGUUUAUUUGAGGCUUCUAAUGUGAGGAAAAACACGGAAUGACAAGUGUGGGAAAGAGCAAGCACUAAAUUACUGUCAGAAAAAUAAACGGAGUAGCACAGUGGUGCUCGGUGAUUUACGGGGGCAAUUAGUCACCACCCCACCGCGCUGCUGAGGACAGCAUGGCAGCAGAUGAGUCAGGUCCACGAGGAAGAAGAGGCUUUGCGCUGCUCUCCAGACAACUUUUCAAACAACAAGAGAGGAUAUUUGAGCACAUUAGGUUGCCUGUCUUCAUUCUGGGUGCCUACUUUUCACAUUAUUCUACCAACUUAAUACAUAAAAUGAAUUUUUAGUACAAUAUGAACCUGUUCUGUGUGUGUUUAAAAGCCUCCAAUGGCAACUUUUUUCUCUCCCACUGUCCAAAGUGGGGUUUUCCCCAUCCCUUAAAAAACAAAACAAAAAAAACCUUUCUUCACUCCCAAAUUGUCCCCCUGGUGUGUUCCUUUGCUCUGUCUUGUUACGUCUUGCAUCUUGCUACAUGUUCUGCAUUUGCUCAGAGCAAGUGGGUGCUAAGGAAUUUGGUCUGCUGCUCCUCUGGGAAAGUCUGGUGAGCUGUUAUAAGGAGGUGAUGAACAAGGCUGUAAACCACAGGAUAAAUGAAAACGAUACAUAAACUUCCUAAUAUUUGUAAACAUGUUCUUUAACAUACCAUAGGUAGUUUCUGUGUAUAUGUAGCAUAGCAAAAGAAACUUGUUAAGGUAUAAUUAAUUGGUAUGCAUGCCUUUGUAAAUAUCAGCCAUCAGAAGAAACCUAGAAUGAAAGGCUGUGAAAGAUCCCAGGAAUGAUACUUUAUUGAUUAAAGGCCAUGAAGCUUCAUCAGGAGUUUAGUUAUCCUUACGUAGCAUUACUUAAGAAUGCUGCCAUAGUAAAUUUCUGAAGCACUUUACCUGUUACAAAGAACGAUUGUAAUUUCCUUUUCUUAUUUGAUCUUACCCUGGCUUUAGUCAGGAACACCUGCUCGGUUAGAAAUGUAUUUGGUGAGUAUGUACACAGUUGGAGAAUAUGCCCUGACACACGCCGCCUUUGGCCUGUAUGCUGGAGUCCUAAAGAGGCAGACCAUGUUGAUGAGCUUGGUGCCAGCAUGGUGCACCAUUCAUCCUGACACGUAAUUUCUGAUAAAGAGGGUCACAACUGGGAAAUACCUCAGAUUCUACUUGCUUCUCUUCUCCACAUUAUUAGACAUUUUCCCCCUCUUGAAUUUUAUAAGCACACUCCUUUUAAAACCCAAUUAAUAAUGAGUGCUGGGAUUUGAUGUAAAAUUGCAUAUUUGUAACUGCAGUGGCACUGGUUUUCAGCUACUCUGUAACAAGGAAAGCAAUCCUAACCAGCAAAAGCAGACUUGUUUCUGUGAAACAUCACAGGCAUGUGAAAUUGUUCAGAUAUGGAGAUAUCAGGAGUGACAUAAAUUGGAAAUUUAACCAAAAAUCUUUUCCAUCAGUGAACAAAGUCUAUCUUAAAGUGCUUCUUGCAUUUUCAGAUCUUUCUCUUCCUUUUUCCCAAAGUCACAUUAUAGUUUCUGAGGAGGGACACACUGGGAAAACUAAGCACAUAUUUAAACAAUGAAAUUUAAGGUGUAAAAAUUCUGCAUUUGUGACAAAUUUGAUGUUUGCUCUUUUCUUGAUUUAAAUAGAGCAUUCUAAAAAUAUUACCCCUAUAGGAGACACAUUUUUAUAUGCAUGUUAUUUUUGUUUACAAAGUAUGGGCUAGUAAAGAGUGAAAAUGACCUUGGCUAUUGUACUUAUUUAUUGAUAGAAAUAAUAGCAUCUUCAUGUCUGGAUUCAAAUCUCUACUUAUCACACAACUUCCAUACAUUUCAAAGAGAAGACUUGGAUUGAAUGAUAACAGGAGUCUGGGGCUUCCUGCAUUCCCCUGUGUUUGUGUUCAUACAGAAUAUGCAAUAUUCUGACUUGGCCAUAAUCUAUAAUUCCUGGCUGUUAUUCUCAGUUGCAACUAUAAAUUCUAGAUUAAUGGUUAUAAUUUUGGUAAGGCAUAAAUUAAAAGUUAUAUGUUCAUGCUUGAAAGGAAGAUCAUUAAAUAUUCAUUAUUACCACUCAAA